GAUGAACGCUGGCGGCGUGCCUAAUACAUGCAAGUCGAGCGAACAGAUGAGGAGCUUGCUCCUCUGACGUUAGCGGCGGACGGGUGAGUAACACGUGGAUAACCUACCUAUAAGACUGGGAUAACUUCGGGAAACCGGAGCUAAUACCGGAUAACAUAUUAAACCGCAUGGUUCAACAGUGAAAGACGGUUUUGCUGUCACUUAUAGAUGGAUCCGCGCCGCAUUAGCUAGUUGGUAAGGUAACGGCUUACCAAGGCAACGAUGCGUAGCCGACCUGAGAGGGUGAUCGGCCACACUGGAACUGAGACACGGUCCAGACUCCUACGGGAGGCAGCAGUAGGGAAUCUUCCGCAAUGGGCGAAAGCCUGACGGAGCAACGCCGCGUGAGUGAUGAAGGUCUUCGGAUCGUAAAACUCUGUUAUUGGGGAAGAACAAAUGUGUAAGUAACUAUGCACGUCUUGACGGUACCUAAUCAGAAAGCCACGGCUAACUACGUG
rnacentral:rRNA from 1 species